GACAGAGGGUGCAAACGUUGCUCGGAAUUACUGGGCGUAAAGGGCGUGUAGGCGGGAAGGCAAGUCGGGCGUGAAAUCCCUCGGCUUAACCGGGGAACUGCGUCUGAUACUGGAUGGCUUGAGUUCGGGAGAGGGAUGCGGAAUUCCAGGUGUAGCGAUGAAAUGCGUAGAUAUCUGGAGGAACACCGGUGGCGAAGGCGGCAUCCUGGACCGAUACUGACGCUGAUGAGCGAAAGCCAGGGGAGCAAACGGGG
rnacentral:rRNA from 1 species